CUUAUUUCAAAAGAAGAAUAUGCACAAAUUGGGAGUGUGACUCUCACUAAUAUCUUAAAAGAAAAGUUGCUGAAGGAAGGGAGAAAACCAUAUGUUAUUCCCGUUGGUGGAUCAAACCCCAUAGGAACUUGGGGUUAUAUUGAAGCAAUAAGGGAAAUUGAGCAACAAGUUCAGGCUAGUUCUGGCAGAUUAAAAUUUGAUGAUAUUGUUGUAGCAUGUGGCAGUGGAGGAACAAUUGCUGGUCUGUCACUAGGAUCAUGUUUCGGUGCUUUGAAGGCAAAAGUUCAUGCGUUCUCUGUCUGUGAUGACCCUGAUUACUUUUAUGACUUUGUUCAAGCCCUUAUUGAGGGACUCAAAGCAGGCGUUAACUCACGUGACAUUGUACACAUUCAAAAUGCCAAAGGUCUGGGCUAUGCAAUGAAUGCCUCUGAUGAGCUUCAGUUUGUCCAGGA
rnacentral:misc_RNA from 1 species